CUACGUGCCAGCAGCCGCGGUAAUACGGAAGGUCCGGGCGUUAUCCGGAUUUAUUGGGUUUAAAGGGAGUGUAGGCGGUCUGUUAAGCGUGUUGUGAAAUUUAGGUGCUCAACAUUUAACUUGCAGCGCGAACUGUCAGACUUGAGUACACGCAGCGCAGGCGGAAUUCAUGGUGUAGCGGUGAAAUGCUUGGAUAUCAUGAGGAACUCCGAUCGCGAAGGCAGCCUGCGGGAGUGUUACUGACGCUUAAGCUCGAAGGUGCGGGUAUCGAACAGGAUUAGAUACCCUGGUAGUCCGCACAGUAAACGAUGGAUGCCCGCCGUUGGCGCCCUGCGCCUGCGGCCAAGCGAAAGCAUUAAGCAUCCCACCUGGGGAGUACGCCGGCAACGGUGAAACUCAAAGGAAUUGACGGGGGCCCGCACAAGCGGAGGAACAUGUGGUUUAAUUCGAUGAUACGCGAGGAACCUUACCCGGGCUUGAA
rnacentral:rRNA from 1 species